rnacentral:tRNA from 1 species
UCUCUGGCAGUCCAGUGGUUAAGACUCUGUGCUUCCAAUGCAGGGGCCUGGGUUCAAUUCCUGGUCCAAGAA